UCAUGCAGACUUUUUUUAAUUUAACUGAAAUGCUCUGUUUAUUGUGCUGGUUCGACGAUCCUUGUUCGAGAAUCAAUAGGGUUUAUUUUGAUUUUGAUGCAUUUCUUAACUGGGUUAUCCUGUUUGUUAUUAUUUGUAUGUUUAGUGUUCUAUUUUGGGAGCCUGUGUUACUUAGGGUUUUGAGAAUUUGUCCCCAUUCGAUGGUUUAUGUAGAAUGAUUUGAUCUUGUUUUCUUCAUUCAAUUCUGAAAUGCAUUUUUCACUGAAGAUUGUUUUCACAUUAUUGAUUUGUAUUCUUUUGGGGGUGCAUUGUAAGCAUGUUGAAUUUUGUUUGAAUGUUGUUGGAAAUUUGAAUUCUUUGGGGGAUGUAGUGGGGUAAGUUAAGAUCCCUGAAAUGACAGCCUGCAUUUUUGUAGACUUAAAUUAGGUGGAGAGUUCCGGGUAUGAUCUGGUUUUGAAUGGAAGCAAUUCUAAAAUGAGUAAAAUGUGACAGUUUUGGGUAAUAUAAAUUAAGUUUAAGCUAGAGAUUUGACAUGGUUGUUAUUUUAAUUGUUUCAGCCUGCAUUAAACUGUCAGAACAUGGUAUGGGAGUACUUCCAUUUUAUUUCUAAAAGUUUUAUUGAAUUUUAAAUGCUUUAAAUUUGAAUCAUAACCCUUGGAAUUUGAAUUAUUUAAUUCAACAACACUUGGCAUUUAUAGUAUCCCGAGGAUUGGAACGAAACGCCUGGUCCAAUGCAAACAAAGAAACGAAUUUCUGGAAGAAUUGCUUCCUGAGAUCAUGCCAGUCCCAAGGCUUCAAGGUCUCAGAAGAAGGUAUCUGAGAAGGUACACGGUCCAGGGAAGAAAGUAACGGAGCUAAUUAAAUUUUCCGUUAGGAAGCAGAAACCUGCCAGGACACUCCCAAAACAAAAUGAAGUGCCUGUUGAGGCUACAAAUUUAAAUGCUAGAUAUGCCUUGCAGCAUGAUGAUGCUUCUGAUGCUUGUCUUGGAUUUGAUGUGGCUAAUGGUGUUCACGUAGUCCACGGGGACACCGAACACCAUAUGUCUGGUAGGACCGGUACUAUAUUUUCUCCAGGCUUCCACAUACCGAAGUUGCCCACCUACCACUCUAGUCUUGGACUUGGAUGAAACUUUGGUUCAUUCCUCACUAGAACCUUGCGAUGAUGCAGACUUCACAUUCCCUGUAAAUUUUAAUCACCAGGAACACACUGUUUAUGUUAGAUGCCGUCCUCACCUAAGAGAUUUUAUGGAACAAGUUUCCGGUCUUUUUGAGAUAAUUAUAUUUACAGCAAGUCAAGGCAUAUAUGCUCAACAACUACUAAAUGUGCUUUGUGUUUUAAAAAGCGCGCCUGAGGCGCUAGGCGAGGCGAGGCGUUUAGAAGAAAGCCUCCGACCACCAAGGCGGCGGCGAGUACAUGAGGCGGCGAUUCAGUUGUCAGAGGCGGCGAGAGGCGACGAGGCGAUGCUUUUGGCGAUUCACGUACAAUGACCCAUUUCUUUCCUUCUUUCAUUUUAGCAGCGCUUUGUUGUUGUUGUUCUUUCUCGUCCUUUGGCUUGGGUUUU